rnacentral:rRNA from 1 species
CUGGAGGUAUCAGAAGUGCGAAUGCUGACAUAAGUAACGAUAAAGCGGGUGAAAAGCCCGCUCGCCGGAAGACCAAGGGUUCCUGUCCAACGUUAAUCGGGGCAGGGUGAGUCGACCCCUAAGGCGAGGCCGAAAGGCGUAGUCGAUGGGAAACAGGUUAAUAUUCCUGUACUUGGUGUUACUGCGAAGGGGGGACGGAGAAGGCUAUGUUGGCCGGGCGACGGUUGUCCCGGUUUAAGCGUGUAGGCUGGUUUUCCAGGCAAAUCCGGAAAAUCAAGGCUGAGGCGUGAUGACGAGGCACUACGGUGCUGAAGCAACAAAUGCCCUGCUUCCAGGAAAAGCCUCUAAGCAUCAGGUAACAUCAAAUCGUACCCCAAACCGACACAGGUGGUCAGGUAGAGAAUACCAAGGCGCUUGAGAGAACUCGGGUGAAGGAACUAGGCAAAAUGGUGCCGUAACUUCGGGAGAAGGCACGCUGAUAUGUAGGUGAAGCGACUUGCUCGUGGAGCUGAAAUCAGUCGAAGAUACCAGCUGGCUGCAACUGUUUAUUAAAAACACAGCACUGUGCAAACACGAAAGUGGACGUAUACGGUGUGACGCCUGCCCGGUGC